UGUGUAUGGACCAUAGUAAAACUUCAUUGACAUUCUUAGGGUGAGAAGAGAAUCAGAUUAGGAAUCAGUAACUAAUGCUCAAGUGGAGAUCCAAGUUGGGGGACCAACACGAAUCAAAUUAAAAUGUCUAAUAUAUGUUGAUAAAAUUAAGGUUGAUGCAGCUCUAUGUGCCUGGAUGACACCUGGGAUCAAGAGGAACCAAAGAGAAUGAAGCUUCAUGAUGACUGCUGUGUCAUGACUAAUGAAAUCCUUUGUCUUUGAACCAGGACUCUUAGAUCUUCUGCCAGCAUCCAUGAAAAUGUGGCAUUCUAGAUUAUUAGCAUGCAGAUGUAAUAUCUGUUUUGCUUCAUGGACUCAGCAGUUGUGACAGUGGACCUGCCAUCCUGCUCAGUAAGUGGAUCUCAUGAAUACUAUGAAAGAGACCCAACAAAAAACCCAUAACAAGUGCUGCUCUGUGGGAAACAUCCAGAAUAAUAAAUUGUUCCCCAAUUCCUACCUGGGUCUCUGAUCAUAGUACUAACUUCCUCUUCCAUUGAACCCUGCUGCUUUUUCUUUCCUUUUUAUAAAUGUUGAUUUACAAACAAACCAUUUGUAAACAAGAAGAAGAUAAAAUAAAUGUGUGAAUAUCUGA